rnacentral:rRNA from 1 species
AACGAACGCUGGCGGCAUGCCUAACACAUGCAAGUCGAACGAGACCUUCGGGUCUAGUGGCGCACGGGUGCGUAACGCGUGGGAACCUGCCCUUAGGUUCGGAAUAACCCCCCGAAAGGGGUGCUAAUACCGGAUAAUGUCUUCGGACCAAAGAUUUAUCGCCUUUGGAUGGGCCCGCGUUGGAUUAGCUAGUUGGUAGGGUAAAAGCCUACCAAGGCGACGAUCCAUAGCUGGUCUGAGAGGAUGAUCAGCCACACUGGGACUGAGACACGGCCCAGUCUCCUACGGGGGGCAGCAGUGGGGAAUAUUGGACAAUGGGCGAAAGCCUGAUCCAGCAAUGCCGCGUGAGUGAUGAAGGCCUUAGGGUUGUAAAGCUCUUUUACCCGGGAUGAUAAUGACAGUACCGGGAGAAUAAGCUCCGGCUAACUCCGUG